rnacentral:rRNA from 1 species
AUGAACGCUAGCUACAGGCUUAACACAUGCAAGUCGAGGGGCAGCAUGAACUUAGCUUGCUAAGUUUGAUGGCGACCGGCGCACGGGUGAGUAACACGUAUCCAACCUGCCGAUGACUCGGGGAUAGCCUUUCGAAAGAAAGAUUAAUACCCGAUGGCAUAGUUCUUCCGCAUGGUAGAACUAUUAAAGAAUUUCGGUCAUCGAUGGGGAUGCGUUCCAUUAGGUUGUUGGCGGGGUAACGGCCCACCAAGCCUUCGAUGGAUAGGGGUUCUGAGAGGAAGGUCCCCCACAUUGGAACUGAGACACGGUCCAAACUCCUACGGGAGGCAGCAGUGAGGAAUAUUGGUCAAUGGACGAGAGUCUGAACCAGCCAAGUAGCGUGAAGGAUGACUGCCCUAUGGGUUGUAAACUUCUUUUAUACGGGAAUAAAGUGAGGCACGUGUGCCUUUUUGUAUGUACCGUAUGAAUAAGGAUCGGCUAACUCCGUGCCAGCAGCCGCGGUAAUACGGAGGAUCCGAGCGUUAUCCGGAUUUAUUGGGUUUAAAGGGAGCGUAGGCGGACGCUUAAGUCAGUUGUGAAAGUUUGCGGCUCAACCGUAAAAUUGCAGUUGAUACUGGGUGUCUUGAGUACAGUAGAGGCAGGCGGAAUUCGUGGUGUAGCGGUGAAAUGCUUAGAUAUCACGAAGAACUCCGAUUGCGAAGGCAGCCUGCUGGACUGUAACUGACGCUGAUGCUCGAAAGUGUGGGUAUCAAACAGGAUUAGAUACCCUGGUAGUCCACACAGUAAACGAUGAAUACUCGCUGUUUGCGAUAUACAGUAAGCGGCCAAGCGAAAGCGUUAAGUAUUCCACCUGGGGAGUACGCCGGCAACGGUGAAACUCAAAGGAAUUGACGGGGGCCCGCACAAGCGGAGGAACAUGUGGUUUAAUUCGAUGAUACGCGAGGAACCUUACCCGGGCUUGAAAGUUAGCGACGAUUCUUGAAAGAGGAUUUCCCUUCGGGGCGCGAAACUAGGUGCUGCAUGGUUGUCGUCAGCUCGUGUCGUGAGAUGUUGGGUUAAGUCCCGCAACGAGCGCAACCCUUGAUCUUAGUUGCCAGCAUUCAGUUGGGCACUCUAAGGUGACUGCCGGUGACAAACCGGAGGAAGGUGGGGAUGACGUCAAAUCAGCACGGCCCUUACGUCCGGGGCUACACACGUGUUACAAUGGGGGGUACAGAAGGCAGCUACACGGCGACGUGAUGCUAAUCCCGAAAGCCUCUCUCAGUUCGGAUUGGAGUCUGCAACCCGACUCCAUGAAGCUGGAUUCGCUAGUAAUCGCGCAUCAGCCACGGCGCGGUGAAUACGUUCCCGGGCCUUGUACACACCGCCCGUCACACCACGAGAGUUUGUAACACCCGAAGUCGGUGAGGUAACCUUUACGGAGCCAGCCGCCGAAGGUGGGACAGAUGAUUGGGGUG